AAGAUUACACAAUGGCGGGAAGGUUUGAAUAGCUGAUCUGGCGCAGGCGAGAGUGAAUGUAUUUUCAAAAACAGGAAGUUCAAGCCAUGAAUAGGGCAACGACAACAAAGAUGGCUGACUUUAAACAGUGGAUUGGCGUUCUCAAACCUUGUCUUGUUUUCCGUUGACGCCAUAAUCAUAGUGAUUAUAUUAUUAUGGCAUACAGGUAUUGAAAAUUUACUUGACCUUCUGGACAUCCGGCAGAUUUUCUGUUCCUGAUAUUACUGCGUUUGAGAGAAAAAAAGAUGGUACAAGGAUGAACACGAUGUUGACUACGACUUCUACCCAAAGGAACAAACGAUUACCCGGUCGAGUACACAAUCAUCACCAUCCAGGCGGUCUUGUCAACGAGGGAUGGAGAAGGUUUUUAUGACGAGGUGAUGUUGGAUCAGAUUUGCUAGUGACUGCUUGGUCAUCUUACGGUGAGAUGUAGUCCAGUUUGGCCCUUGUGAGAGGGAAGCUGUACAGGGAACCUAUCAAAAUUCAAAUUAUCUCUCCCUCUUCCCCCAAUCCUCCGACCCAAUCAACUUCAGUAGCAGCCCCUAUAGAGGCCUCGAAACCGGGGGAGGGGCGCUUUUCUCCCAUAACCGUGUACAAAAAAGGAUAAAAUUACCAUCAGAUUUUGAUUUUAUUGCAUGAUCAGCACCCCCCCCCCCCACACACACACUUUCAAAACCGUUCCGUUGCCUCUCGGCUUUGGGGAAAGUAGCUUCCAUCUCACAAGAGCCAAACUCGACUGGGUGAGACGAGGUCUGACGUCAUUGUUGAGCGACCAAUUCGAGAGGACCUACCGUUUCACCAUCAGGAGGUGGGUGUGGACGAUGAGCAGGAAAAUGAUCGACGAAGGUAAUACCAUGGUGUUGGAAAGUUCACCAGAUGCAGUCUCAUCAUGAUGAGGGGUGAUGCCAGUGAUCAAGGAUCCACUUUGUCUUCUGCCGGCCCCCAAAAUCCCGAGAAACUUAACGUUCCGUCUUCUCUUUGAUCCGUUUUAGGGGGAUAUUCAGACAGAUAAGGUAUAAAAGGUAAAGAACGAGAUAACUUAAUCUCCAUUUGCUUUUCCGGCGUAGAUGCACGACUGAAUUGUGCUUUAGUAUUUUCUGUUCUCGUUUAUAUUCCUGUCCCAUAAUGACCACAAUUCUCUGAUACUAAUUAAUAGAAAGAAGGAGAGAGGAAGAGGAGGAGGCGGAAUAUCAUAUAUAUUUUUUUUAGUUCCGCGUGAUGUUUGUAAUUGUUUAAGACUUAUUUUGGAUUUCGGUAAAAACACCACAUUUGGUCCAUGGCGAUUUCCUAAGGAAUUCUUGUUAACUGUGAAUGCAUUAAAUUUAGUCUUUAGAUACUUUAAAGGGCAAUGUUUCGUAAAUCUCCGUCACUUUGCUUCCUCGCAUGGGUCUUCUCAAAAUCUCACAAUUUCGCGCCCCAUUCAGUUAUAAAACAACCUUUUCGUACAUGACUAUAAUCGGGGUUCCGUUUUUGCAGCAUUCUUAAAGGUUCAAUAUUAAUUUAAAAGAAAUGUUACCUGAGCGCAGAAAAGGCCCCAAAAAGAUAUCAAUUUCUUUUACUCUACUCCCAAUCUGUGAUGCUAAAACAAAAAACAAAACAUAAAACACUGUAAAAAACACGCGCGCGCUCGUGCAAACGAUAAAACAAGUUAAUUGAAAUAACGUCGUGAUCACAUUUUUAACAUUUGAUUAGAGUGUUUUUCUUGUUCGUUUUAUAAGAAAAAUGCGCAAGAAAUUGCGUUUUUGGCGAAUUACAAUAAUUGGAAUUGAAUGUCCACAUUUGGUAGAAGGGGCAAUAUUUAAGUGUCAGCCCCCUCCCGUCAAAUGUUCAAAGGGGUGCAAUUUUUAAUGCCAAAGAUCAAGAGGCUCAUAUCACAAUUUUGGACGGUACCUUAAUGCCUUAUGCAGACUAUAGACGCGUAAUAUUUUGUAAAAGAAACCACAAAGCAAGGGUUCAAAUGUCACUUGUCAUGACACAUUUCAAUAGUAAAAUUGAAGGGUUUUGGUCACAGUUUGUAGAAUUUAGAUAAAAUUUUCAGUAAUGAAUGUAAAAAUGGAGUAGUCUAGAUAGGCAAAUGGCUUUUUGUUACUCCCUCACAUGCCAUUCAUUACUCUUAUGUUUUUUCUUGUUAUUUUUUGUCUAAAUUGUACACCUGUCAUUGUUGUUUUUACUCUAUUGCAUUAAUUCACUAUGUAUUGUACCCUUUUUUUUUAGAGAUGUGAAAUGAAUAGAUUUGAAUUUGGAUUAGAAUAAAUGCAAUGCUACAUGACAAAUUUGAACCGAAGCUCGCGAUGAAAAAACAGCCGAGCUAUAUAUCACAUCUCCUUCUUCCUCUUAUUCUCACCCCCCCCCCUUGGACAUGUUGGAAUGGGGAGCAUAUACGCGUUGUGGCCCCACUUUAAUUUUGGCUGGGGAACACUCUAUGCUUACAUAGAGAAUAUUCACAUAAUUAAAUACAGGCAUUUUGAUAUUCGCAUUUAUCUUACAAAAGAUAAUUCCACAUAAUCGUUUAAUGAUAUUGUUAAUACAGUUACAUGUAGUAAGUUUGAGUAUACAUGACUCCCAGCCCAUCGAGGAAAUCAGGAAUAUCCUAUUUUUUCCAAUCAGAUCAGUCUUGUAUUUUGAUAAAAGUGCCUCAAAUCGGGAAAAGUCAUCAAAUAUUGAUUUGCGUAAAAUCGAAGAUCCAUUGGAUGACUUGAUAUUGUGAUUUCUUUUAAAUUUUAGUCUAGCCUCUUUUGUGACAAAGCUGCUUCUCGAUAUAAGAAAAUGGAAAUGAGCUGGAAUAGUUUUCGUGGAAUUUUGAAACUUCAUCAGAGCAAAAUGGGAAAAUCGAGGAAUUUUGUUUUCGUGUUAUGCUGGGAACCUUGUCACACGUGUAGUACUCGCACAUCCCAUAGCUUUAUGAAAAUUUAUUUUCAUUUUGAAUGCCAAGGUGUACGUGGCAAUGUUUCAAGAAUUUUAAUACCUCUAAAUCUUUCUUUAUUAUUUACAGCAGUAUACAAUUGUUUUGCGAUAUAAACAAUUCAUUUAUCUAUUGAUUAAUGUUUUUAUUCAUUCAUUUAUUGGGACCAUGACAAUGGCAUUAUUUACAAUAUAUAUAUGUAUAUAUAUAGAUGUUCACAUGAAUAGCACAGAUAAAUUCAAAUAGGGCCUACUUUCCCUCUUUUCUGUUUAUUUAUACUAUUUCUUUCGUCAUUGUUAUAUUUUGAAUGAAUGAAUAAGAAGAGUGAACUGAUAAAUAAAAUAAUAAAUAAACCAAUGAAUAGACAAACAAAUAAAUGAAUAUAGAAUGAGAUAUUUUAUGUGUAUAUUUAUAUAUGCCCACACUAAAUUUGUUUUCUUUUUUUACCAGUAUUUGUUUAAUGCUUUGAUUUGUUUAGUUUGCCUUUAAUUUUUUUUUUUUUUUUUGGGGAGGGGAUGAGUGUCUUUAGUCAUCAUUAAUUUAGACAAGGUUGGUUCACAACCAGAAGUGUAGAAUUACAUAGAAGUACGUGCAGAAGUAUUUGCAUUAUGAAAACUCUGUGAUAAUCAUAUGGCAGAUUUUUUUUAAUAGAUCUGUUUUUUUUACAUUUAUGGAAUUUUUUCCUGGAAAAGUAAUUUUAACAUUUAUGAAUUCUCAUGUGAAAUUAAUUAAGAACAAUACUUCAAGUCUAAUUUCUUGUUUCACAAUUCUGUAAUUCUCAUCUUACACGGUCGCCAAAAUAAGAUUUUAUCAAGGAUUUUUUUUUAGUUUUAAAAGUGAAAAUGUAUAUUUGCAAUCUUUUAAUUGCUGGUAUCUCACUAUACAUUGGGUAAGUAUGAAUUAUAGUAGGCCUAUGUUCAAAUAUAAGUUUCCUCUGCAAUAGACAAGUUCGGAGCUACCUUACGGGAAAUUUUGGUCAAAUUACCUUUUAUUUCUUUCAGUAUAAUAGGCAAAUUUCAAAGCAAGGUAUUAUGUAAGCAUGCCUUACAUAGCAGGAUGCAGAAAUUGAAUAGACCAGGUGACUAGAAUAACACACUAAUGAACACUCUAUGAAUGUAAUUUUUAAAUUCCUACUUUGAAUGCAUUAGCAUGCUGUUACAACAUUGUGCUUGGCAAACUGUGAAAUACCCGUCGCUAUAUAGUAGAUGUAUUGUUGUUGUGGAGCUAAUGAAAAACACAAUUCAGAAGAAUAUGUGAACAAUCAAUCUCAUUGAAUAUUCACUUUAGUACAAAUGACUUUCUUCUGACCAUGCGCAGAAUGGAUGGAACUCCGAACUGGCUUAUUGGCAUUUUGGGCUAAAUUUAGGAAUUCAUUAUGUUUGCCUGGAUGAAAUAAUCAUGUUACACCUGUUUGGCUACUUGUAUUCAUUCUCACAGGGGCCGCAUAACGGUUUUAAAGUGUGAGGACCCCCCCCCCCCGAACUGCGGCCCCUGUCUCGUAACAGUUUCUUAUGAAACUGUCCCAUUUUUUUUCCCUCUUACCUUUCUCCCCCCUCUCUUUCCUAACUUUUAUACAGUGCGUUCCCACAAAAUCAUUUUUUUUUAGAAUCCACACCUUGGCAAAUGAUUUGAACAGUCUUUCAUUGGUUUCAUAAUUUUGUAUUUCAUGCAUCGUAGAAUUGUAAAUAGUCCACGCAUACGAUACCUUGAACUUUCAGUCCCAAAAAAUAGUUGAUCAGAAAAAUGUGUGAUGAUUUUAUGAAGGAUACAUCGACAUUGUGUAAGACAGGGAUAACUCCUUAGCAUAUCUUUUUUGAAUUUAUUUUUAAAUUUUCUUAAGAAUUUCUAAAUAAGAUUAGAUUUUUAACUUCAGA